AUGACAUGGAGAAGUUAAGCACUAUGCUAACAUGACAUGGAGAAGUUAAGCACUAUGCUAACAUGACAUGGAGAAGUUAAGCACUAUGCUAACAUGACAUGGAGAAGUUAAGCACUAUGCUAACAUGACAUGGAGAAGUUAAGCACUAUGCUAACAUGACAUGGAGAAGUUAAGCACUAUGCUAACAUGACAUGGAGAAGUUAAGCACUAUGCUAACAUGACAUGGAGAAGUUAAGCACUAUGCUAACAUGACAUGGAGAAGUUAAGCACUAUGCUAACAUGACAUGGAGAAGUUAAGCACUAUGCUAACAUGACAUGGAGAAGUUAAGCACUAUGCUAACAUGACAUGGAGAAGUUAAGCACUAUGCUAACAUGACAUGGAGAAGGUAAGCACUAUGCUAACAUGACAUGGAGAAGUUAAGCACUAUGCUAACAUGACAUGGAGAAGGUAAGCCACUCCUGUAUCUCUAUAAUCAAUCGAGUUGAUGCAAUUAUCCAGAUAGUUACAUAUCAGUUAAUCCUCUUGUUUUCGAUGGAUGGAUCCACUUUCAACAUAGCAAGACAAAGAACCUCUGAAAAAAAAACGUUUUUAUUCAACAAUUGAAAGACAUUUGAGCGUUGAGGAGUAGUGACCUACAUGUAGUUGUACAUGACUCUGCAGUAGCUUUGUGAUAGUUGAACUAAAUUUAAACCUUGGUCAUUUUUUGUCAGUAGUUAGUUACUUUUUGUUGCCAUGCAGCUGUGUAGCUAACUACUGGAACUACACACUACUUUUUUUUGCAAAAAUAAAAUAUGGGUGAAUUAGGCAA